UUUUAUGAGAGUUUGAUCCUGGCUCAGGACGAACGCUGGCGGCGUGCCUAAUACAUGCAAGUAGAACGCUGAAGUCUGGUGCUUGCACUAGACGGAUGAGUUGCGAACGGGUGAGUAACGCGUAGGUAACCUGCCUCAUAGCGGGGGAUAACUAUUGGAAACGAUAGCUAAUACCGCAUAACAGUAUUUACCGCAUGGUAGAUAUUUGAAAGGAGCAAUUGCUUCACUAUGAGAUGGACCUGCGUUGUAUUAGCUAGUUGGUGAGGUAACGGCUCACCAAGGCUUCGAUACAUAGCCGACCUGAGAGGGUGAUCGGCCACACUGGGACUGAGACACGGCCCAGACUCCUACGGGAGGCAGCAGUAGGGAAUCUUCGGCAAUGGGGGCAACCCUGACCGAGCAACGCCGCGUGAGUGAAGAAGGUUUUCGGAUCGUAAAGCUCUGUUGUAAGAGAAGAACUGUGAGAAGAGUGGAAAGUUUCUCACUUGACGGUAUCUUACCAGAAAGGGACGGCUAACUACGUGCCAGCAGCCGCGGUAAUACGUAGGUCCCGAGCGUUGUCCGGAUUUAUUGGGCGUAAAGCGAGCGCAGGCGGUUUGAUAAGUCUGAAGUAAAAGGCUGUGGCUUAACCAUAGUACGCUUUGGAAACUGUCAAACUUGAGUGCAGAAGGGGAGAGUGGAAUUCCAUGUGUAGCGGUGAAAUGCGUAGAUAUAUGGAGGAACACCGGUGGCGAAAGCGGCUCUCUGGUCUGUAACUGACGCUGAGGCUCGAAAGCGUGGGGAGCGAACAGGAUUAGAUACCCUGGUAGUCCACGCCGUAAACGAUGAGUGCUAGGUGUUGGGUCCUUUCCGGGACUCAGUGCCGCAGCUAACGCAUUAAGCACUCCGCCUGGGGAGUACGACCGCAAGGUUGAAACUCAAAGGAAUUGACGGGGGCCCGCACAAGCGGUGGAGCAUGUGGUUUAAUUCGAAGCAACGCGAAGAACCUUACCAGGUCUUGACAUCCCGAUGACCGCCCUAGAGAUAGGGUUUCUCUUCGGAGCAUCGGUGACAGGUGGUGCAUGGUUGUCGUCAGCUCGUGUCGUGAGAUGUUGGGUUAAGUCCCGCAACGAGCGCAACCCCUAUUGUUAGUUGCCAUCAUUCAGUUGGGCACUCUAGCGAGACUGCCGGUAAUAAACCGGAGGAAGGUGGGGAUGACGUCAAAUCAUCAUGCCCCUUAUGACCUGGGCUACACACGUGCUACAAUGGCUGGUACAACGAGUCGCAAGUCGGUGACGGCAAGCUAAUCUCUUAAAGCCAGUCUCAGUUCGGAUUGUAGGCUGCAACUCGCCUACAUGAAGUCGGAAUCGCUAGUAAUCGCGGAUCAGCACGCCGCGGUGAAUACGUUCCCGGGCCUUGUACACACCGCCCGUCACACCACGAGAGUUUGUAACACCCGAAGUCGGUGAGGUAACCUUUUAGGAGCCAGCCGCCUAAGGUGGGAUAGAUGAUUGGGGCGAAGUCGUAACAAGGUAGCCGUAUCGGAAGGUGCGGCUGGAUCACCUCCUUU
rnacentral:rRNA from 1 species